AUAUAAUGAAAAAAUUUUAGUACUUAGUUUAAGUAAAUAAAUUAUACGGUGAUAUUAGUAUGUGACUUAUGGAGAACUUUUUAGUGUCAUAAAUGAAUAAAUCACAGUUAGUCAGUUAUUUUAUACGUUUAUUUUGAAUAGAGUUUCUAUUACUUAUUGUAUAUUUUGGACAUGUGGGUAUUAUCUACCACAUUCCUUUUAUAAUUUUAAUAUAUCAACAAGUGGUUUUAAACACUACUGAUUACUGUUAUUACUUAAUAAAUAUAAGCAUCUUAUUUUUGCGAAUAAAAUACUAUCAUAACCCUCUUAUUUAAUAUCUUUUACUGCCGUAUCACUUAAUAAAAAAUUAUAUAAAAAUUUGUCUUUUAACAUCAUUUUUUAUUUUUUUACCAUUCAAUUGCGUAUAACUUCAAUAUACAUUAUCAUAUCAGCUCAAUAAUUUAAAAGUUAAAGAAAAGAAGGAAAACUAAAUUAUAAUUAACAAUCUGUGUAAAUAAUUUGUUAUUUAGUAAGAAGCAUACAAACAUCAUAAACUCCCAUUUAUUUGUUAAUAUGUCUUAUUUUAAAAGUUCUAUAUGCGUCAAAGAGUUGAAAUAAUUCUAAAUUAUUUCAUAAGAUGAAAACUUAAAAAAUUUACAAACAUUCAUCGUACAUUUAUUUUUUAAAAGGAUUUGGCGCCACGCAGACAAUGAGUAGCACUGUCACCGAUCACAUUGAUCCCCUUGAACCAUUGUAAUAAUAAAAAUAACCGAAAAAGUGGUAAAUAGCAUUUGGCUUUUGUAAAUAUUCAAAAGAUUAAAUGUUCGGUUUACACGCGCAUAUGCAGAUAUCUUGAUACUUGUGGGGAUAUUUGAUAUAACCAGGAUUACAAUCCACUGGGGAUACGUUUGAAAAAGUGGAAAGAUUGGAAUCAUAAUACUUCUUGGCGUACAAAAUUAAAGUUUGCUUUUUUUUAUUCUACAUUAACUCCAACAAAAGACACCAUCGCACAGAGAUUAAAUUCAAAUAUCAUUUUUUAUGCAUCAAAACAGAUGAUCAUUUUUGAUUUUUAUUAAAAUUAUUAAAAAAAAAAAAA